AGAGAAACAGCAGCUCUGGCCCUGACCUGGCCUCCAUCACCUGCUCAGGUGUGGAGCUUCUGGGCAAUUUGAGCCCCCAUCACCAUGUGCUCCUCCACCUGGGCAGGACCCAGAGCCAUGCUGGGCUGCCUGGCCCUUCUCUGGGCCCUCCUGGUUCCUGGCCAAGAGAUCAGGCUGGUACAGCUGCCCGUGAUAGUGUCGCGUGUGGGGAACUCUGUCACCAUGCCCUGCCGGAUCACUACAUCCGUCAGCUACAUCCAUUGGUAUCGCCAGCUGGAGGGCCAGGCCCCUGAGAGGCUCCUCUAUCUGGCCACGUCGCAGCGGGAUGUGCAGUGGGAUUCCGUCCUGCAAGGCAAUAAGGUCACCGCUAAGAAGGGCAAUGAUGACAAAAGCUGUACCCUGUCCUUGAUGAAGCUGGAGAAGGGUGAUGAGGGCCUGUAUUACUGUGCUGCCUGGGAUUCCCACAGCCCUGCUUGCAGUCUGGGACCCAGCACAAAAAGCACAGGCGCCCAUUGAUUGGCCCAGACCUGGCAACUGCCACCGCCUCUGUGUCUCUUAGGUCACCUUGCAAUCAUCCCUCAAUAUCCUGGCUCUGAGGGACUCCCUUUCUAUGGGUCCUCUGCAGAUAAAUUUGAAUGGGUGCUGGAUCCAACCCAGGGAGGGAGAUGUCCUGUCCGAAGGGACCUUUCAUCUUUUGUCUUUUUUUUUUUUUUUUUUUCUUUUUGCCUUUUCUAGGGCCACUCCUGAGGCAUGUGGAAGUUCCCAGGCUAGGGGUCUAAUCUGAGAUGUAGCCUCCGGCCUACGCCAGAGCCACAGCAAUGUGGGAUCCGAGCCGCGUCUGCGACCUACACCACAGGGCCAGGGAUUGAACCUGCAACCUCAUGGUCCCUAGUCGGAUUCGUUAACCACCAAGAAACAAUGGGAACUCCCGAAGGGACCUUUUGAAAGGAUAUCCUGCUCAGCAUUUCUCCAGCAUUUGGAGGAGAAUCUGAGCUGCUCAAUCUACCAGCCAUUAGUCACAUGUGGCUAUUGAGCCCUUGACAUGUGGUUAGUCCGAGAGUUGAAGCUGAGACGAGCCUGUAUGUAUACAACACAAACUAUAUUUUGAAGACAGAAGCAAAAAAAAAAAAAAGGACUAUCUCCUUAACUAUUUUCAUAUUGACUGCUUGUUGCAAUGGUAUUAUGGCUAUCUUGGACUAAGUAAAAAUAGUCCUAAUAUUAAUUUUAAUUGUCUUUGUCCCCCUUUUUAAUGCAGAAGCCAAAACAUUUAGGUUUUUUUACUGUCUUUUUGCCUUUUUUAGGGCCCCUUCCGCGGCGUGUGGAGGUUCCCAGGCUAGGGGUCAAAUUGGAACUGUAGCCUCCGGCCUACGCCAGAGCCACAGCAACGUGGGAUCCAAGCCGAGUCUGCGAUCUACACCACAGCUCACAGGAAUGCCAGAUCCUUAACCCACUGAGCAAGGCCAAGGAUCAAACCCGCAACCUCAUGGUUCCUAGUCAGAUUCAUUAACCACUGAGCCAUGACAGGAACUCACAAAACAUUUAAUUUUUAAAUUAUCUUUAUUCAUUUUAGGAUCAUACCCAUGGCAUAUGGAAGUUCCCAGGCUAGGGGUCAAAUCGGAGCUGCAGCUGCCAGUGUAUGCCACAGCAAUGCCAGACUUGAGCUACAUCAAUGACCUAUACCACAGCUUGCAGCAACACUGGAAUCUUAACCCACUGUGCAAGGCCAUGGAUCAAACCUGUAUCCUCAAGGAUACCAGUCAGGUUUGUUUGUGCUGAUCUACAGUGGGAAUUCCUAAUUUUUUUUUAAUUAUAGUUGAUUUACAAUGUUCUGUCAAAUUCUGCUGUAUAGCAAAGAGAUGCAGCCAUACACACACAUAUACUUUCUUCUCAUACUGUCUUCCAUCAUGUUCUAUCACAAGUGAUUGGAUAGAGUUCCCUGUGCUGUACAGCAGGAUAUCAUUGCCUACCCAUUCUAAAUGUUAUACUUUGCAUCUAUGAACCCCAAACUCCCAGUUCAUCCCACUCCCUCCCUCCUCUCCAAAAAGCCAAAACAUUUUAAAGUUGUGGCCUGAAUUGACUCACAUUUAUUCCUGUUGGACAGUGCUGGAAGAGACUGGCAAUAUAAGAAUCUGCCCAUCUCCCUUGAGGAAUGCACACAUGAAGUGCUGUGCAAAUGAUUUCAAGGGGGAAGGACUCUCUGGAGAUUUGGCACAAAAUGCUUGAAAGCGGAGCCUGGAAGUGAACUCCUGAUUUCAGUCUCUGAGUUGCUGCCUCACCCCUUGUUAUCAUUUUGCAGGGGAGAAGCCAGAAGUUAGAAGCCCAGGAAACAAUACUGGUAAUAUCUCAGUGUCCUCAUCCAUUGGCACGCCUGGCACUCAAACUCAUGUUGUUAGACAAUGGUCAUCGUAGUGGAUGACUAUGGGGAUGACUCAUCUCUCUGGGGAUGAGCCAUGGAGCCCUCUGCCCCACAUUCCUUGAACGUCGCUAUACGUGGAAUUUGGAGUAGAGAAUCGAAAUUCUCUCUUCUGUAAAAUGAGGUGGUUGCACUGUGAAAAUUAUGACUCUGAUUUCUGCAUUCAAGUAAAAUCAUACAAAUCAGGUAUCACUAUGUUCACUACCUUCUUAUGGAACCUGUUCAACUUCUUGAAAAGAAAAGAAGAAAAGAAGAGAAAAGAAAGAGCUGUGUCACUUAUUCUCCAGCCCUGAACAGGAAAUCCCUCACCUGCUAUAUGUGGAGGAGAAAUAAAAGCUCUUUGAGGUCUGAGCUGAAUAGAAAUCCUUUUCAACUGAAAAUUCAAGGUUUAUGUACAGCUUAAUAGCAACAAUAAAAUGAUUAAUAUGAGAUAAGUCUAUGAUUCUGAAAAA
ensembl:lncRNA